rnacentral:rRNA from 1 species
AGAUUGAACGCUGGCGGAAUGCCUUACACAUGCAAGUCGAACGGCAGCACGGGAGCAAUCCUGGUGGCGAGUGGCGAACGGGUGAGUAAUACAUCGGAACGUGCCCAAUCGUGGGGGAUAACGUAGCGAAAGCUACGCUAAUACCGCAUACGAUCUACGGAUGAAAGCAGGGGAUCGCAAGACCUUGCGCGAAUGGAGCGGCCGAUGGCAGAUUAGGUAGUUGGUGGGGUAAAGGCGUCACCAAGCCUUCGAUCUGUAGCUGGUCUGAGAGGACGACCAGCCACACUGGGACUGAGACACGGCCCAGACUCCUACGGGAGGCAGCAGUGGGAAUUUUGGACAAUGGGCGCAAGCCUGAUCCAGCCAUUCCGCGUGCAGGAUGAAGGCCUUGGUUGUAACUGCUUUGUACGGAACGAAAGCUUUCUCUAAUACAGAAGGUCAUGACGGUACGUAAGAAUAAGCACCGACUAACUACGUAGCCAGCUAGACCG